GACACUAUACAUGAAAUUUGUUAUUAAUUAUUUUUUAUUUAGAUAUGAUUGGUUAUAUAAUAUAUCUAUCUUUCUUAAAGAGGUCUGCACCUUAACUCAGAUUUAUGAAUUUAAUUUUUAAUUUUAAUUAAAAGAAAUUAUUAAUUUAAACAAAUAAAUAAAGAACAAAAAUAUAUAUAAAAAAAAAAAAACCAAAAACUGUCUCGGCUCCUCUAAUGUAAUGGCUAGACGGCUCGCAAAAUGGCUCCCUCAAUAGGCUCAGCUGAAGAAGGAACCCCGGGUUUUCAAGUCUUCUACACGGGUUCCGGGUUGGGCUAACAAAAAAAGGUGCAGAUUUUGGGCUAUUCAAAACACCACGUUUCAGCUUUGUAUAAAACUUCAAAAAAUUUAUUUGCGUUUGAACUUUUCCGUUCACCACUCUAGCUGACCGAAUUUUCUCUCACCCUCUCUCUAACCAAGAUGAAUCCCGGCCCAGAUUGUCAAGCUUUCCCAGAUUCCGGGACCGCUCUUCUCUGUCAGCCGUCGUCAAUCGCCGAUCACCGCCGGCCACCAGUGUUAAACUUGUACCAAAAUUCUCAUCGCGAUCCGCUCUUUCCAAUUUCCUAGCUAGAUUUCUCUGAAAACAACUAAAACUCUUUGUACCCUUCCUUAUGGUGGACUACGAUCUCCAAAACCCUAUCCACCGACGUCUGCUACCGCUAAACCGCCAUUAGUGGUGACUCAAUGGCCUUCGAAAAUCCUUAAACCCACCACCUAAACUAUUUCUCUUUCCCUCCCUACCUAAAAACAAGAGUCUCGAAAUCAGCCCACACAACCCCAAAAUACCUCAUUCCCAAAAGGCUUUUUAUUGUGAUUUAUGUUUGUGUUGUUUUGUGUUAUUGUUGUUGAUUGAGGGCUGUUGAUUUUUUAUGGUUCUCUUUGAAAGAGAAUAUAGUUUGGGUCAUUGGUCUUGGAUUUUUUCUGUUGUUUUCAUUGAAUUUUCUGCAAGUGUUCCUUUUUGAUGGUUGCUGUUUGUUUAUAAUCCAUUAGUCCAAUCCUACACAGAAAUCUUAAAUCAACAUAUUCAUAAGGAUUUCGGUUUGAAUAAAUUCAAUCCCCAAAACAAUUUUAUCUCCAAUCAUCAUCCAUUUCAACUUUUGUUUUUUUUUUUAAUUUUUGGUUUUUUUUUUUUUUUCAAAAAUAAAUUAUAAACUAAAAAAAUAAAUAAAUUAAAAAAUCAAAUAUUUGAUAGAGACUUAAGACCCAAACUAGUCCCAAAUCAAUUCAAAGCCUAAAUUGCAAAUUCAAAUUUAAAUAAACUAAUCUAAAACUCAUAUACCGUAAGAUUUUUUAUGCAAAAAUAUCUAUUAAUAAUUUUUUUUUUGAAAACAUUAUUUUUAAAUUUAUCAAAUUUUACUAUAUGGAUUUAUUUUUAUUUCUCAAAAAUUAUUAAAAUCACAAAAUUUUUCAUUAUAUUAAUAAUGUUUUAUAGUUUAUUUUUUAAAAAUUAUUUUUAAAAAAAAUUAUUAAACGUUUUAAUGUGUUGAUAAGAUUUUAUUUUAAUAUUUUAAAAAUUAACUCUCCUAUAUUUUGAUGAAAUUUUUAACAAUGUUUAUUUUUUUUUUUAUUUAAAAAAUUUAAAACAAUAAAUAUAUAAAAUAUAUAAAAAUACAAAAAAUAAAAAUAAUCUUACCAGUUCGGCUUAGUAAGUGGUGUGGCUCGGUGGCUCAACCCAGCUCGAACUGCUGGAUGCUAAAACGAGUCGGGAGUUGCGAGCACUCUAGUCGGAUUGGGCUAACGGAAGCACAUGGAUUCUCUUUUAAUAAAAGAGUGUGUUUUGGCUUCUAUAAAAGCCAAGUUUUUGCCUUACCAUUUAUUUCCCUUCUCUCUCUGAGCUAAUUUUUCUCUAACCUCAAUCUUCCCAAACUCAGAAACGAUGAACUAUAGCACUAGAUUUUGAAAAAUCUCAUCGACAACUUUAAAAUGUCGUUGAAAUUUCGUCGAAAAUACCAAAGACUUACUGAAAAACUCAAUGGAAUUUGGAGAAUUUCUGGAUUUUUUAUAAAAAAAUUUAGCAAAUCCUCCCCUCGACAGAUUUGAUCUCACAAACACUAUUAUCUACAAUUUGUCCUCAAAAUCACACUUAAAACCUUUCAAACCCGGAAAAACAAAUAAAAAAUACUCCAAAUCAGUACCCUCUUCUGGCCAAACUUUCACCCAUCUUUUUUUUAUAUUUUCACUCUCUUUUGUGUGAAUUCUCUCUGUGCAAUUGCUUUCCCCCUUAAUUGUUGCAACAACUUAGGAAUAUAUAAUAGUUGAAUCCUGAUUUAGAUAGUUAUCCAAAACAAAAAGGAGAUUGAGCUUCUAAAAAUUCAUCUAUCUUAAUCUCUAAAUUUUAUUUGAAAAAUUUUAUCAUCAAAGAAGUCCAUCUACUUUUGGAUUUUACCUAAAGAAUUGCGCAUAUCCAACAUAAUAAAAAACCCCAAUUCACUCUUGCACCAUCUUUAUCAAUGUGAGAUUUUUUUAGAAAUAGU
rnacentral:lncRNA from 1 species